CCUACGGGAGGCAGCAGUGGGGAAUUUUGGACAAUGGGCGCAAGCCUGAUCCAGCCAUGCCGCGUGUGGGAAGAAGGCCUUCGGGUUGUAAACCACUUUUGUCAGGGAAGAAACGGUCUGGUCUAAUAAACCGGACUAAUGACGGUACCUGAAGAAUAAGCACCGGCUAACUACGUGCCAGCAGCCGCGGUAAUGCGUAGGGUGCGAGCGUUAAUCGGAAUUACUGGGCGUAAAGCGUGCGCAGGCGGCUUUGCAAGACAGGUGUGAAAUCCCCGGGCUCAACCUGGGAACUGCAUUUGUGACUGCAAGGCUAGAGUACGGCAGAGGGGGAUGGAAUUCCGCGUGUAGCAGUGAAAUGCGUAGAUAUGCGGAGGAACACCGAUGGCGAAGGCAAUCCCCUGGGCCUGUACUGACGCUCAUGCACGAAAGCGUGGGGAGCAAACAGGAUUAGAUACCCUGGUAGUCCACGCCCUAAACGAUGUCAACUGGUUGUUGGGAGGGUUUCUCUCAGUACGAGCUAACGCGUGAGUUGACCGCCUGGGGAGACGGCGCGAGUUAGACGUANAAUUAGAGUUGNGGNGNGAGAGNGCGAGCGACGACGAGGGAGGAGG
rnacentral:rRNA from 1 species